rnacentral:lncRNA from 1 species
CCGUGAACCCGCGCUGGCGGGAGUAGCUACUGACCGCUGGGGACCCCUGCCCAGGCUGUUCGCAUGUGGAAAGGAUUCAGGGAGCAGGCGAUGCCCAAAGCGUGGAGACCAGCACUGCUCUCUCCCCAGUGACAGUACAGCUGUGCCGUGUACAGGAGGGUGCUGUCUGACGCCAGACACCUGGACUACAGAUCGCAGCCUGAUUCCUGAGUUCAUGAGGCCCCUUGCCCGGAAUGUCCACAUUUGAAACCUCCCAACACCGAGCCCCAUUUCAAGUAUAACCAGGAGGGAAAAUGGUGCUUGAAAUAAGCAUGCCACAAAGGAAAACCUGCUUUCUCGAAAUGGGCCCUGGCCGCCCAGGCCCUGACCUCCCCGGCCAGGAUGGAACGUUCCAGAGACCCAUUAGUGCCAAAGGCAAAUGAAAACACACCCUGUGAAAAUGUC